CAGCAGCCGCGGGAAUACGUAGGGUGCGAGCGUUAAUCGGAAUUACUGGGCGUAAAGCGUGCGCAGGCGGUUCGUUAAGACAGAUGUGAAAUCCCCGGGCUUAACCUGGGAACUGCAUUUGUGACUGGCGAGCUAGAGUAUGGCAGAGGGGGGUAGAAUUCCACGUGUAGCAGUGAAAUGCGUAGAGAUGUGGAGGAAUACCGAUGGCGAAGGCAGCCAUCUGGGACAACACUGACGCUGAGGCACGAAAGCGUGGGGAGCAAACAGGAUUAGAUACCCCGGUAGUCCCUGUCUCUUAUAC
rnacentral:rRNA from 1 species